rnacentral:siRNA from 1 species
CCGGGGAAUGCGUGACCUG